GUUUUCUAAAUCAAUUGUGUCCUAUUGUCAUGUCGGUGACUUUUAAAGCCACUUGUAUGGUAUAGGUUUUUCUCAUUGUUUAAGGCCUAACAUUCCAUCCACACUGUGAAUAAACUCAUCAUAGAUACCAGGACUAAAUUUUGUAUAUACGCCAGACGCGCGUUUCGUCUACAAAAGACUCAUCAUUGACGCUCGAAUCCAAAAAACUUAAAAGGCCAAAUAAAGUACUAAGUUGAAGAGCAUUAAGGGCCAAAAUUCCUAAAAGUUAUGCCAAUGAUCCCACUUUCAUAUACAUUUAACAAAGAAGAUGUUGUAAGAUAUAAGUUUAAGAAUGCAAAUAUUUUAUUGUGCAGAUCAAUUUCAC
rnacentral:lncRNA from 1 species